CCUACGGGUGGCAGCAGUCGAGAAUCAUUCACAAUGGGGGCAACCCUGAUCGUGCGACGCCGCGUGGGGGAAUGCAGGUCUUCGGAUUGUAAACCCCUGUCAUGUGGGAGCAAAUUAAAAAGAUAGUACCAUAAGAGGAAGAGACGGUUAACACUGUGCCAGCAGCAGCGGUACUACAGAGGUCACAAGAGGUGUUCGGAAUCCGUGGUCGUAAAGGGUGCGUAGGCUGUUUCGUAAGGCGUGUGUGAAAGGCGUGGGCUCAACCCGCGGACGGCACAUGAUACUGGGCGACUAGAGUAAUGGAGGGGGAACCGGAAUUCGCGGUGUAGCAGUGAAAUGCUUAGAUAUCGAGAGGAACACUGGUGGCGAAGGCGGGUUCCUGGACAUUAACUAACGCUGAGGCACGAAGGCCAGGGGAGCGAAAGGGAUUAGAUACCCGAGUAGUC
rnacentral:rRNA from 1 species